UGUGGAUAAAAUAAUGGAAUAGUGUUCCAUUAGGUCCGAAAUGGAGAGGUCCUUAUGUUGUUCUUUUGUCCACUCCAACAGCUGUAAAGGUGGCAGAAGUGACUCCGUGGAUUCAUCACUCUAGGGUUAAAUCAGCAGCAGACUCUUGGCAAGCCAUUCCAGAUCCUGAAAAUCCUUUCAAGAUCCGGUUAAAGUGGGUGACUCAGUCGGAGUGAGUGUGAAGUAUUGGGACAUCGUGGUUGGAAGUGUUAUUUUGAGAUCAGCAAGUAGGUGUUUUGACGGCCAUAAUAAAGCCUGACCAUCUGCCUACGUGUCAUAAGUCAG